ensembl:lncRNA
CCUUCUUCUGUGAUGGCACUGCAGUGGAUAGCAGCCAUUUUACGGGCUCCUGACCAAUUCUGCUAAUAUUUCACACUGAUCUUUACUUUCUUUUGUACAUAAUGUUUUUGCCAUCAUUUCCUAUGACUGGAAACAGCUUCUGGACAUCAGAACAGGGAUUGUUAACCUUGAAUUAGACAACUUUUUUUACUUCUCUUACUGCUCCGGACAUUCUGCAUACUCCGUACCAGACCCUAAUCCCCGGGACUCGAAAGAGGAAGCGCCGGCAAAAGAGUCGUGGCUGAAUGAGGACAUGGAUAUAUAUCGUGCUGGUUUUUCUACGCAUCUUCAAGACCGGACAGCGGACUCGGUUGUUCCCAGACCUUGAAACUGGGUAGUGACAUGGGGCACCAGCCAACAGGAGACGGAUGGUCAGUCCCAGGAGAGGACACGGCAGGGUUUGACCAAAGCACAGUCACCCAGGGUUGCAGUGUUCAGCUGCCCAAUGCUGGCUGGCACUCAUCCAGACUGGUAGACUGGUACCUCCGCAAACCCCUCAGACUGCCACUGCACAAGACUGACCAACCAAUGGGAAACAAAGGGAAGAUUUUCAUUUCUGCAAAUGGAGGAGUGGAAACAAUGGUCAAAGUGAUCACAUGGAUAAAUUGUUGUUAUAAUUGUGCUGACCUGAACAAAAUCAAUUUCCAUGUAAGUGGACAAUAAAGGUAAUGUAAUCUGAUCCA